AUGGCGCCUGAUCUUCUUAACCCCUCUCCAGAACUCAAGCAUGUCCUCAUGUGGUCAGUACCAGUACUCAUUAUAGCUCCUACGGUAAUCUUCUGGUACCUGCAAGCUGUUGGCAACAAGAAGAACCCCAUCCGUCUUCCCCCGAGCCCCCUGCGGCUACCCAUCAUAGGGCAUCUGCACCUGAUGGUGCACGAGCUCCACCAGUCACUGCAGAGGCUGGCGCGCAGCCUGGGCCCCGUCAUCCACCUGCAGCUCGGCGGUGUCGCUACCGUCGUGCUUUCAUCGCCGGAGGCGGCCAAGGAGGUCCUCAAGACGCAUGAUGUCCAUUGCUGCAGCCAACCCCCCUCGCCAGGUGCGAAAUUGAUGACCUACGGCCAACAAGACAUCGCCUUCUCUCCGUACAACGCGAGCUGGCGCGAGUUGCGCAAGCUGUUCGUCUCAGAGCUCGUGGGGAGCAAACGUGUCCACACCUUCUCUCACGCACUAGAAGCUCAGGUCAGCGAGCUGAUCCAAUCCCUCGCACCGAUGACGGAGCCCGUCAACCUCAACGAGACCCUCUUCACGCUCAUCGACAGCUUCAUCGGCACGGUGGCGUUCGGGAGCAUGAAGGGCGCCAAGCUCAUGAAGUACGCCAAGUUCCAGCGGGUGUUCAGCGAGGCCACGGUGGCCCUCUCCGCCUUCUCCGCGCAGGACUUCUUCCCGGCGUCGCCCAUGAGCCGGUGGUUCGACAAGCUUGUCGGGCUGGAGAGGCGGUACCUCAGGACAUUCCUAGAGAUAGACUCCUACCUGGAGAUGGUUCUCACUCAACAUAUGGAUCCUGGGAGGGUGAAGCCCGUGAAAGAAGACCUUGUGGAUGUGUUGAUCAGUCUUUGGAAGGGACAAGGGAAGAUCACAAAGGACCACGUCAAGGCUCUUCUAGGGGAUGCAUUUAUCGGUGGCACCGCGACGAGCUCGGUGACAUUGUUGUGGGCUAUGUCCGAGCUGAUCAAGAAUCCAGCGGUGAUGAAGAAGGCACAGGCAGAGAUAAGGAGUUUGGUCGGCGGCAAACAGAGGAGUUAA
rnacentral:rRNA from 1 species